rnacentral:rRNA from 1 species
AAAUUGAAGAGUUUGAUCAUGGCUCAGAUUGAACGCUGGCGGCAGGCCUAACACAUGCAAGUCGAGCGGUAGCACAGAGAGCUUGCUCUCGGGUGACGAGCGGCGGACGGGUGAGUAAUGUCUGGGAAACUGCCUGAUGGAGGGGGAUAACUACUGGAAACGGUAGCUAAUACCGCAUAACGUCGCAAGACCAAAGUGGGGGACCUUCGGGCCUCAUGCCAUCAGAUGUGCCCAGAUGGGAUUAGCUAGUAGGUGGGGUAACGGCUCACCUAGGCGACGAUCCCUAGCUGGUCUGAGAGGAUGACCAGCCACACUGGAACUGAGACACGGUCCAGACUCCUACGGGAGGCAGCAGUGGGGAAUAUUGCACAAUGGGCGCAAGCCUGAUGCAGCCAUGCCGCGUGUGUGAAGAAGGCCUUCGGGUUGUAAAGCACUUUCAGCGGGGAGGAAGGCGUUAAGGUUAAUAACCUUGGCGAUUGACGUUACCCGCAGAAGAAGCACCGGCUAACUCCGUGCCAGCAGCCGCGGUAAUACGGAGGGUGCAAGCGUUAAUCGGAAUUACUGGGCGUAAAGCGCACGCAGGCGGUCUGUCAAGUCGGAUGUGAAAUCCCCGGGCUCAACCUGGGAACUGCAUUCGAAACUGGCAGGCUAGAGUCUUGUAGAGGGGGGUAGAAUUCCAGGUGUAGCGGUGAAAUGCGUAGAGAUCUGGAGGAAUACCGGUGGCGAAGGCGGCCCCCUGGACAAAGACUGACGCUCAGGUGCGAAAGCGUGGGGAGCAAACAGGAUUAGAUACCCUGGUAGUCCACGCCGUAAACGAUGUCGAUUUGGAGGUUGUGCCCUUGAGGCGUGGCUUCCGGAGCUAACGCGUU